rnacentral:rRNA from 1 species
AUUGAACGCUGGCGGCAGGCCUAACACAUGCAAGUCGAACGAGUGGCGGACGGGUGAGUAAUGUAUGGGAAACUGCCUGAUGGAGGGGGAUAACUACUGGAAACGGUAGCUAAUACCGCAUACCAUCGGAUGUACCCAGAUGGGAUUAGCUUGUAGGUGGGGUAACGGCUCACCAAGGCGACGCUCCCUAGCUGGUCUGAGAGGAUGAUCAGCCACACUGGAACUGCGACACGGUCCAGACUCCUACGGGAGGCAGCAGUGGGGAAUAUUGCACAAUGGGCGCAAGCCUGAUACAGCCAUGCCGCGUGUAUGAAGAAGGCCUUCGGGUUGUAAAGUACUUUCAGCUGGGAGGCGUUACCCACAGAAGAAGCACCGGCUAACUCCGUGCCAGCCGCCGCGGUAAUAC